CGGCUCUCUGGUCUGUAACUGACGCUGAGGCUCGAAAGCGUGGGGAGCGAACAGGAUUAGAUACCCUGGUAGUCCACGCCGUAAACGAUGAGUGCUAAGUGUUGGAGGGUUUCCGCCCUUCAGUGCUGCAGCAAACGCAUUAAGCACUCCGCCUGGGGAGUACGACCGCAAGGUUGAAACUCAAAGGAAUUGACGGGGGCCCGCACAAGCGGUGGAGCAUGUGGUUUAAUUCGAAGCAACGCGAAGAACCUUACCAGGUCUUGACAUCCUUUGACCACUCUAGAGAUAGAGCUUCCCCUUCGGGGGCAAAGUGACAGGUGGUGCAUGGUUGUCGUCAGCUCGUGUCGUGAGAUGUUGGGUUAAGUCCCGCAACGAGCGCAACCCUUAUUGUUAGUUGCCAUCAUUUAGUUGGGCACUCUAGCGAGACUGCCGGUGACAAACCGGAGGAAGGUGGGGAUGACGUCAAAUCAUCAUGCCCCUUAUGACCUGGGCUACACACGUGCUACAAUGGGAAGUACAACGAGUUGCGAAGUCGCGAGGCUAAGCUAAUCUCUUAAGGCUUCUCUCAGUUCGGAUUGUAGGCUGCAACUCGCCUACAUGAAGCCGGAAUCGCUAGUAAUCGCGGAUCAGCACGCCGCGGUGAAUACGUUCCCGGGCCUUGCACACAC
rnacentral:rRNA from 1 species